GGUAUUUAUUCUAGCAACCACAACAUUGUUACAAAAGCACAAUUUUAAUAGGCUUAUCUGCUAAGAUGCUUUUAUAAGCAGCUGUCACCUAUACAGAGUUAUGAAUCAUCUUUGGUGCUCAAGGAACCUGUAGAAGUAAGAGACAUCAUCAUACAGAGAAAUGUAGUUAAGUUGAAGCUUGGAAAAGAUCACAUGAAAAAAAUCUAGCUCUUGCCUUAUCUCUUCCUAAGUUAAGCAUAAAUUAGCCGUCUGCAAUAGCCGCCUGUAAGACAAAUGAUAACAGAAGACAAUCACACAUGGUGAAUGGUUUCCAGUGGAGUUUUUCUUCUAAAGAGACAGUAAACAGGUCGCAACUCAUUCUUUGAGAAAGGAUUCCUAUUAAAUACCCAGAAACAGCUAUCAAAUAAACAGCCAAAGCUAUUACUUGUUUUCAUCACAUCUCUGUAUCUUCAGAAUUGGAAGAAGAAUGUGAGGCUGUACUGUGGGCCUG
rnacentral:lncRNA from 1 species